rnacentral:lncRNA from 1 species
GUAUAGAUGGAGGUCAUGGGGGUGGUGACGGAGGCCUUGGUGGUGGUGAUGAUGGAGGUAAAGGUGGAGGUGGCGGCAAUGGUGGAGGUGGUGGAAGUGGCGGAGGUGGAGGUGUUGAUGAAAGAUAUGGUGGUUGUGGUAGUGGUGGAGGCAGAGGUAAUGGAGGCGGGGGGGAGGUGAUGGUGGUAGUGGUAAUGGAGGCAAAGGCGGUAGAGGUGGUAAUGGUGGUAGUAAUGGCGGUGGUGGUGGUCGUAGUGGUAGUGGCGGCGGUGGUGGUGGUCGUAGCGGUAGUGGAGGCGGUAAUCGAGGUGGUAGUAGUGGUGGAGGUAGAGGUGGUAGAGGUGGAGGUGGUGAUGUUGGCGAUGUUGGUAGUGGCAAAGGCGGUGGUGGAGGUGGUGAUGUUGGAGGUGACGGCGAAGGCAGUGGCAGAGGUGGUGGAGGUGGCGAUGUUGGUAGUGGCAAAGGCGGUGGUGGAGGUGGUGAUGUUGGAGGUGAUGGCGAAGGCAGUGGCAGAGGUGGUGGUGGUGGCUAUGGCGGUGGAGGUGGUGGUGGUGGUGAUGAUGGAGGUAGAGGUGGCGGUGGUGGAGGUGUUUGUGGAGGUGGCGGUGGUGGAGGUGUUAAGGUGGUGGUGGAGGAGAUGACGGUAAUGGAUGUAGUGGUGGUGGAGUUGAUGCUGGGUGUUGGAAGAGGUGACCAUAGUUGCGGUGGUGGUGGUGAAGUCGGUGCUAGAGGUUGUGGUGGUGCUGGAGGUGGAGGCAGUGGUGGUGAUGAAGCCGGCGGUGGUGGCAGUGAUAGAGGUAAUGGUGGUGGAAGUGGUGAAGGUGGAGGAGAUGGUGGUGGUUGCGGUGGUGUGGCGGUAGUGGUGGUGGAUGUAGAAAUGGUGGCAGCGGUGGUGGAGGUGGUGGUAGUGGAGGUGUUGCACGUGGCGGUUGUGAUGGUGGAGGUGGAGGUGGAGGUGGUGGUGAUAGAUUCGAUGGCAGUGGCGGUGGCGGUGGCGAAGGAGGUGGAAGUGGAGGCGGUUGUGGACGUGGUAGAUGUGGAUAUGCUUUCGUUGGUGGUGGAGAUGGUAGUGGUAGCAGAGGUGGUGGUGAAGGUGGAGGUGGUGGUGGAGGUGGAGGUAGUGGAGGUGGUGGUGGAGGUGGUAGCAGUGGUGGAGGUAGAGGUGGAGGUGGCAAUGAUGGAGGUAGAGGUGGAGGCGGCGGCAGUGGAGGUGGUGGUGGUGGAGGCGGCGCUUGUGGAGGUGGUGGUGGUGGUGGUUAAGGUGGUGGUGGAGGAAAUGACGGUAGUGGAUGUAGUGGUAGUGGAGUUGAUGCCGGGGGUGGAAGAGGUGACGGUAGUUACAGGGGUGGUGGUGAAGUCGGUGCUAGAGGUGGUGACGGGGGUGGAGGUGGUGCUGUUGCUGGAGGUGGAGGCCAUGGCGAAUGUGGUUGAGGUGAAUGCAGUAGUGGUGAUGAAGUCGGUGGUGGAGGUGGCGGUGGUGGAGGCGAUGGUGGUGGAAGUGGUGAAGGUGGAGGAGAUGGUGGUGGUUGCGGUGGUGUGGCGGUGGUGGUGGAUGUAGAAGUGGUGGCGGCGGUGGUGGAGGUAGUGGAGGUGUUGUAGGUGGCGGUUGUGAUGGUGGUGGUGAUGAAGGUAGAGGUGGUUGUGAUAAAUUCGAUGGGGGUGGCGGUGGCAGUGACGGAGGUGGAAGUGGAGGCGAAUGUGGACAUGGUGGAUGUGGAUAUGCUUUCGUUGGUGGUGGAGAUGGUGGUGGUGGUGGAGGUGGUGGUGAAAGUGGAGGUGGUGGUGGAAGUGGCGGCGGUAGAGGUGGAAGUGGUGACGGUGGACGUGGUGGUAGAGAUUGAUGGAGGAGGUGGUGGUUAAGGUGGAGGUGGUUACGAUGGUGGUUGUGGAGUCGAUGGUGGAGGUGGUGGAGGUGAUGGUAAUGGUCGUAGAGUUGGUGGAAGUGGUGGUGGUGGUGGUGGAUACAGAGUUAUUGGUGGAGGUGGAGGUGGAGGUGAUAGCGUUGGUGGCGUUAGUGGAGGUGGUAGCGUUGGUGGCGUUGGUGGUGUUGGAGGUGGUGAUGGCAUUGGUGGCGGUGGCGGCGGCAGCAGCGAUGGUGGUGGAGAUGGUCUAGGAAAUGGUAGUGGUGGACGUGGUGGAUGUGAUGGCGGUGGUAGUGGUGGUGGAGGUGGAGGUCGAGGUGGUUUUGGAGGAGGUGGUGGCAAUGGAGGUGAUGGCAGUGGUGGAGGUGGCGGUGAUGGUAGUGGUGGAAGAGAUCGUGGUGAAGGUGGAGGUGGUGGCAGUGGUGGUAAAGAUGGUGGUGGUAGCGGUGGUGAAGGUGGAGGUGGUGGUGAUAGAGUAGGUGGCGGUGGCAGUGGUGGACGUGGUGGAUGUCGAUGUGCUUACAUGGGUGGUGGAGGUAGAGGUGGUAGUGGUGGCAGAGGUGAUGGUGAAGGUUGAGGUUGUGGAGGUGGUGGUGGAGGUGGUAGUGGUGGUGGUGGUGGUAGUGGUGGUAGAGGCGGUGGUGGAGGUAGUAGCAAUGGUGGAGGUGGAGGUGGAGGUAGAGGUAGAGGUGGUGAUGUUGGCGAUGGUGGUAGUGGAGGUGGUGGCAAAGGCGGUGGUGGAGGUGGUGAUGUUAGAUGUGGUAGAGGUAACGGUGAUGGUGAAGGCAGUGGCAAAGGUGAUGGUGGUGGCUACAGUGGUGGAUGUGGUGGUGGUGGUGGUGGCUACGGUGGUGGAGGUGAUGGUGGUGGUGAUGAUGGAGGUAGAGGUGGAGGUGGUAAUGUUAGCGAUGAUGGUGGUAACGGAGGUGGUGGCGAAGGCGUUGGUGGAAGAGGUGAUGUUGGAGGUGGUGGAGGUGACAGCAAAGGCAAUGGCAAAGGUGGUCGUGGUGGUGGCGGUAGUGGCAGUGAUGGCGGCGAUGGUGGAGGCAGCGAUAGUGGAGGUGAAGGUGGUGGUGGUGGAGUCGGUGGUGGUGGAGGAGGAGGUGAUGCCAGUGGUGGAGGAGAUGACGGUAGUGGAUGUAAUGGUGGUGGAGUUGAUGUCGGGGGUGGUGGAGGUGACGGUAGUUGAGGGGGUGGUGGUGAAGUCGGAGGUAGAGGUGGCGACGGGGGUGGGGGUGAAGGCAGUGGCGAAUGUGGUGGAGGUAAAGGGGGAUGCAGUGGUGGCGAUGGCGGUGGCGGUGGCGGUGGUAAAGCCGGAGGCAGUUGUGGAGGCGGUGGUUGUGGAGGUGGUGGAUGCUGGAGGAGAUGGUCGUGGUUGCGGUGGUGUAGAGGUGUUGAUGGUGGCGGCUAUGUGGAGGUCGCGGUGGUGGAAAUGGAGUUGGUGAUGGUGGCUGCGGUGUGGAGGUGGCUGCGGCGAUAAAGGUGGUGGAGAUUGUGAAGGUGUAGUGGUAGCGGUAGUGGUGGAGUCGGUAGUGGCGGUGGUGGUGGAGUCGGUAGUGGCGGUGGUGGACAUAAAGGUGGUAGCGAUAGUGUUAGCGGUGGUGGACGUGGAGUUGAUGGUAUAGGUGGAGGUGGUCGACGGGGUGAUGGUUGUGGAGGUGGUGUUGAAGGUAGUGUUGAAGGUGGUGGAAGUGGCGGUGAUGGAGGUAGAGGUGGAGGUGGUAGUGGUGGUGGUGGAGGCGAUGGUGAAGGUGGUGGAAGUGGCGAUGAUGGAGGUAGAGGUGGAGGUGGUAGUGGUGGUGGUGGAGGCGAUGGUGAAGGUGGUGGAAGUGGCGAUGGUAGAGGUGGUGGUUGUGGCGGUGGUGGAUGUAAAUGUGGUAGCGAUUGUGGAGGUAGAGGUGAUGGAGUCGAUGGUGGUAGUGGCAGUGGCAGUGGUGGAGUUGGUGGAGCUGGAGAUGGAGGAGAUGGUGGUGGUAGCUAUUGUUGAUGUGGUAGUGGUAGCAAUGGUGUUGGUGGCGGAGGUAUAGGUGGCGGUAGCGGUGGCGGUGGAAGUGUUGGUGGAGGUGAUAGCACUGGUAGAGUUCGAGGUGGACGUGGUGGAGUUGGAGGUGGUGGAGUUGGAGGUGGUGAUGUUGGUGGUGGCGGCGGAGGUGGUAGUGGUGGUGGAGGCGGUGGUGAAGGUGGCAGAAGUGGAGGUGGUGGUUGAGCAUUGGUGGAUGUAGAUAUGGUAGCAAUUAGAAGCGGUGGCAGUGGUUGUGGUGGAGUCCGUGGUGGAGGUGAUGGACAUGAUGGUGGUGGAGGUAGAGGUGGUGGACAUGAUGGUGGUGGUUGUGGAAGUGGAGUUGGUGGAGGUAGAGGUGAUGGCAGCGGUGGAGGCAGAGGUGAUGCCGGCGGUGGAUGCGGUGGUGGAUGAAAUGGUGGCGGUGGUGGUCCUGGAGGUGGUGGCGGUGGUGGUCCUGGAGGUGGUGGUAGAGGAGAUAGUGAUGGUGGCGUUGUUGAAGGUGAUGGUGGAAGUGGUGGUGUUGGAGGUGGAGGUGGAGGUGGUGUUAGAGGCGGUGGUGGCAGUGGUGGUGGAGGUCGUGGUGAAGGGUGGUGGCGGUGGUGGCGAAUGUGGAUGUGGUAGUGGUGGAGGUAGAGGUGCUAGUGGUGGUAAAGCUGGACGCAUUGGUGGAGGUGGUGGUGGUGAGGGAGUCGGUAGUAGGGGUGGAGAUGGUGGUGGUGAAGGUUCAGAUGGUGGACGUGGUGGACAUGGUUGUGGAGGUGGUGGUGAAGGUAGAGGUGGUGGUGGUGGUGGUGGUGGAGGUGGUAGUGAUGGAAGAGAUGUUGGUUGUGGAGGUGGUAGAGGCCGGGGCGGGGGUGAUGGUGGUGGUGGUGGUGGUGGAGGCAGAGGCAUUGGUGGUAGUGGCGGCGAUGGAGGUGGAGGCGUUGGUGGUGGCUAUGGAGGUGGUGGAGGUGGUGGUAGAGGUGGUGGCAGUGGCGGCGGUAGUGGAGGUGGAAGGGGAAGUGGAAGGGGUGGCGGUGGCAAAGGUGGUGGUGGAGGUGGUGAAAGUUGCAGUGGUGGCGGUGGUGGACGAGUUGGUCGUGGCGGUGGUGGUGGAGGAGAUGGUGAUGGUGGCGGUGGUGGCGACGGAGGCGGAGGCGGUGAUGGAGCUGAAGGAAGUGGAGGUGGAGGUUGCGAUGGUGGAGGGGAUGGUGGUGGUGGAGGUGGUGGUGGUGGUUGUAGAGGUGGAUGUGGUGGUAGAGUCGAUGGAAGAGGUGGUGGUGGUGGAGGUGUGGAGGUAAUGGUGGUGGAGGUGGUGGUGGUAGAAGUGGAGGAGGUGAAAGUGGUAGUGGAGGUGGUGAAAGUGGUGGUGGUGGAGGAGUCGGUGGUGACGGCAUUGGUGGAAGUGGUUGUGGAGGAGAUGGUGGUGGCGGUGGAGGUGGAGGUGGAAGCAAAGGUGGUGGUGGAGGUGGUGAUGGAGAUGGUGGUGAUGGAGGUGGAGGAGGUGAAGGUGGUGUUAGAGUCGAUGAAAGAGGUGGUGAUGGUGGUGGUGGAGGUGGAUGCGAUAGUGGAGGUGGCGGAGGUGGAGGUGGAAGUGGUGGUAGAGGUAGUGGUAGAGGCAGUGGUGAAGGUGGCGGUGGUGAAGGUGGUUGAAAUUGCGAUGGUGGAGGUGGUGGAGGUGGCGGAGGUGGCGGUGUAGGUUUGGGUUGGCGGAGUCGGUAGUGGUGGUUGUGGUGGAGGAGAUGGUGGAGGUGGCGGUGGUGGUGGAGGUGGAGAUGGUGGUGGUCGCGUUGGUGGAAAAGAUAGUGUUAGUGGCGUUGGUGGUGGAGGAGAUGGUGGUGGUGGGGACUGCAGCGGUGAUGGCGGAGGUAGAUAUGGAGGUUGUGGUGGAGGUGGAAGUAGAGGAGGUAGAGAUGGUGGUGGAGGUGGUGGUGGGGGCGGUGGUGGAGGUGGUGAAGGUGGCAGUUAUGGAGGUAGUGGUGGAGGCGGUGGAGGCGGUGGAGGUGUUGGUGGAGGUGGUGGAAGUGGUGGUGGUGGUGGAGGUGGAGGUGGAGGAGGUAGAGGUGGUGGUGAAGGUGGUUGAGAUUGCGAUGGUGGUAGAGGUGGUGGUGAAGGUGGUUGAGAUUGCGAUGGUGGCAGUGGUGGAGGUGGUGGCGUUGGCGAUGUAGGUUUGGGUUGGUGGAGUCGGUAGUGGAGGUUGUGGUGGAGGUGGAUAUGGUGAUGGUGAUGGUGGCGUUGGUGGAGGUGGUGGUGGUGGAGAUAGCGUUGAUGGCGUUGGUGGUGGAGAAGAUGGUUGUGGUGGCGGCGGCGGCGGCAGCAGUGGUGGCGGAGGUAGAUGUGGAGGUUGUGGUGGAGGUGGAAGUAGAGAAGGUAGAGAUGGUGGUGGAGACAAUGGUGGAGGUGGUGGUGGAGGUGGUGAAGGUGGCAGUUAUGGCGGCGAUGGUGGCGGCGUUGGUGGAGGUGGUGGUGGAAGUGGCGGCGUUGGUGGAGGUGGAGGUGGAGGUGGAGGUGCUGGCGGUGGUGGUGGUGACGGCGGCGGUGGUGGUAGCGAUGUUGGUGGUGGCGGUAGUGGUGUAAGAGAUGGCGUUGGUAGAGGUUGAGGUGGUGGUGGAGAAGGUGGUGGUGGUGGUGGUGGCGGCGGUGGAAGAGGUGGUGGUGGAGGUAGAGGUGGUAGUGGUAGAGAAGGUGGUGGUGGUGGUGGUGGCGGCGGUGGAAGAGGUGGUGGUGAAGGUGGAGGUGGAGGUGGUAGUGGUGGUGGUGGUGGAGGUGGUGGUGGUGGUCGAGGCGGUGGUGAAGGUGGUGAAGGUGGCGAUGGUGAAAAUGGUGGUGGCGGUGGUGGUGGAGGAGAUGAAGGCUAUGGCGAUGGCGGUUGAUGUGGCUGUGGUAGAGUCAGUAAUAGAGGUGGUGGCGGUGGUGGCGGAGGUUGUGGUGGUGGUGGUGGAGGAGAUGGUGGUGGUGGUAGUGGUGGAGGUAGUGGCGGAGCCAGUUGAGGAGGUGGCAGUUGCGGUGGUGAUAGCGAUGUUGGUGGUGGAGAAGAUGGUGGUGGUGGCGGCGGCUACGGCAACAGUGGUGGCGGCAUUGGUGGUAGUAGCAGAGGUAACGUUGGUGGCGUUGGUGGAGGUAGAGGUAGAGGUGGUGAAGGUAGUGGUGGCGUCGGUGGUGGAGGCGUUGAUGGAGGUGGUGAAAGUGGUGGUGGAGGAGAUGCUGGUGGAGGUGGAGGCGGUGGUGGUGGAGGUAGAGGAUGUAGAGGUGGUGGUGGUGGUGGUGGUGGUAGAGGUGGAAGUGGUGGUAGAGUCGAUGGAAGAGGUGGUGGUGGUGGAGGUGGAGGUGGAGGUGGAGGCGGUAAUGGAGGUGGUAGUGGAGGCAUUAGUGGCAUUGGUGGAGGUGGAGGUGGUGAAGGUGGUGGUGAAGGAGAUGGCGUUGGUGGAGGUGGUGGUUGAGGAGAUGGUGCUAGUGGCGGCGUUGGUGGUAGAGGUAGAGGUUGUAGAGGUGGUGGUGGAGGAGAUGGUGUUGGUGGCUGCAUUGGUGGAGGUGGAGGCAUUGGUGGUGGAGGUGGUGAAAGAAGUGGAGGCGUUGGUAGUGGUGGUGGAGGUGGAGGUGGUGGAGGAGGAGUCGGUGGUGAUGAAGGCAUUAGUGGCGGUGGUUGUGGUGGAGGAG